GAUGAACGCUGGCGGCGUGCCUAAUACAUGCAAGUCGAGCGAACAGACGAGGAGCUUGCUCCUCUGACGUUAGCGGCGGACGGGUGAGUAACACGUGGAUAACCUACCUAUAAGACUGGGAUAACUUCGGGAAACCGGAGCUAAUACCGGAUAAUAUAUUGAACCGCAUGGUUCAAUCGUGAAAGUCGGUUUUUCUGUCACUUAUAGAUGGAUCCGCGCCGCAUUAGCUAGUUGGUAAGGUAACGGCUUACCAAGGCGACGAUGCGUAGCCGACCUGAGAGGGUGAUCGGCCACACUGGAACUGAGACACGGUCCAGACUCCUACGGGAGGCAGCAGUAGGGAAUCUUCCGCAAUGGGCGAAAGCCUGACGGAGCAACGCCGCGUGAGUGAUGAAGGUCUUCGGAUCGUAAAACUCUGUUAGUAGGGAAGAACAAAUGUGUAAGUAACUAUGCACGUCUUGACGGUACCUAAUCAGAAAGCCACGGCUAACUACGUG
rnacentral:rRNA from 1 species